rnacentral:rRNA from 1 species
CCUACGGGUGACAGCAGUGAGGAAUAUUGGUCAAUGGGCGCGAGCCUGAACCAGCCAAGUAGCGUGAGGGAAGACGGCCCUAUGGGUUGUAAACUUCUUUUAUCCGGGAAUAAAGGGCGUCACGUGUGGCGUUUUGAGAGUACCGUAUGAAUAAGCAUCGGCUAAUUCCGUGCCAGCAGCCGCGGUAAUACGGAGGAUCCGAGCGUUAUCCGGAUUUAUUGGGUUUAAAGGGUGCGUAGGCCGGAUGUCAAGUCAGCGGUGAAAUUUGCGGGCUCAACCCGGGUCUUGCAGUGACAACUGGCGUGCUUGAGUACGUGUGAAGUAGGCGGAAUUCGUGGUGUAGCGGUGAAAUGCUUAGAUAGGACGAAGAACCCCGAUUGCGAAGGCAGCUUGCCGCAGCGGAACUGACGCUGAUGCUCGAAAGUGCGGGUAUCGAACAGGAUUAGAUACCCCAGUAGUC